UCAUAAUCAUAUUCUCAUUUCAUAGCCUAUCCUUACAUUUUCCUCAUUGUCAUGACAUAACAUUUUGUUUGUUGUUUCCAAUACUUGGAUGUCCCCCGAUAGCUUCCUUUUCCAUUCAACUUUCAGGUGCUCAGAUAUUGACGACAUGAAUAAGCCCGUUACGAAUCUUGAAAUUGAUUUUGAGAAGGCUGUUUGCUUAGGAGAAUUUGAA
rnacentral:lncRNA from 1 species